AAUCAACGCUGGCGGCGUGCCUAACACAUGCAAGUCGCACGAGAAAGGGGAGCAAUCCCUGAGUAAAGUGGCGCACGGGUGAGUAACACGUGACUAACCUACCCUCGAGUGGGGAAUAACCUAGAGAAAUCUGGGCUAAUACCGCAUAACACUUACGAGUCAAAGCAGCAAUGCGCUUGAGGAGGGGGUCGCGGCAGAUUAGCUAGUUGGCGGGGUAAUGGCCCACCAAGGCAAUGAUCUGUAUCCGGCCUGAGAGGGCGCACGGACACACUGGAACUGAAACACGGUCCAGACUCCUACGGGAGGCAGCAGUGGGGAAUUUUGCGCAAUGGGGGAAACCCUGACGCAGCAACGCCGCGUGGAGGAU
rnacentral:rRNA from 1 species